rnacentral:RNase_P_RNA from 2 species
AGUGCAAGCUGACUUGUCGUCCUGAUUAAGUUCAGGGAGGAAAGUCCGGGCAACAUAGAGCGCCAUACUUCCUAACGGGAAGGGGCCUUACUGGUGACGGCAAGGUCACAGACAGUGCCACAGAAAAUAUACCGCCCCGAUCCAGAUCGUUAUCUGGUCGAGGUAAGGGUGAAAUGGUGGAGUAAGAGCCCACCGGGUCCUUGGUGACAAGGAUUGCAUGGUAAACCUUAUGGGUUGAAAGAUCAAAUAGGUUCCGCCUUGGAAGCAAUUCCAAAAAAGGCUGCUCGUCUUUAUGCGGAAUGGGUAGAUCGAUGGAGCGCAAGUGUGAACCUGCGCCUAGAUAAAUGACAAGUUAGUCACCUAACGGUGAUGAACAGAACCCGGCUUAUAGGCUUGCACAUUUU